rnacentral:rRNA from 1 species
UACGAAGGGGGCUAGCGUUGCUCGGAUUGACUGGGCGUAAAGGGCGCGUAGGCGGUUCGUACAGUCAGACGUGAAAUUCCUGGGCUCAACCUGGGGCUGCGUUUGAUACGUGCGGGCUUGAGUGCGGAAGAGGGUCGUGGAAUUCCCAGUGUAGAGGUGAAAUUCGUAGAUAUUGGGAAGAACACCCGUGGCGAAGGCGGUUCUCUGGGACGGUACUGACGCUGAGACGCGAAAGCGUGGGGAGCGAACAGG